rnacentral:rRNA from 1 species
AGAGUUUGAUCCUGGCUCAGAAUCAACGCUGGCGGCGCGCUUAACACAUGCAAGUCGCACGAGAAAGUGGAGCAAUCCAUGAGUACAGUGGCGUACGGGUGAGUAACACGUGGAUCAUCUACCUCUUGGUGGGGAAUAACGCUGGGAAACCGGCGCUAAUACCGCAUAAGCCUGGAAAGGGAAAGCAGCAAUGCGCCGAGAGAGGAGUCCGCGGCCGAUUAGCUAGUUGGUAGGGUAAUGGCCUACCAAGGCAAUGAUCGGUAGCCGGCCUGAGAGGGCACACGGCCACACUGGCACUGAAACACGGGCCAGACUCCUACGGGAGGCAGCAGUGGGGAAUCUUGCACAAUGGGGGCAACCCUGAUGCAGCGACGCCGCGUGAGCGAUGAAGCCCUUCGGGGUGUAAAGCUCUUUCGGCAGGAACGAUAAUGACGGUACCUGAAGAAGAAGCUGCGGCUAACUACGUGCCAGCAGCCGCGGUAAUACGUAGGCAGCGAGCGUUGUUCGGAGUUACUGGGCGUAAAGAGUGUGUAGGCGGUUCUCUAAGUUCGGUGUGAAAUCUCCCGGCUCAACUGGGAGGGUGCGCCGGAAACUGGAGGGCUUGAGUAUGGGAGAGGAAAGCGGAAUUCCUGGUGUAGCGGUGAAAUGCGUAGAUAUCAGGAGGNNNCCUGCGGUGUAGACGGCUUUCUGGACCAUCACUGACGCUGAGACACGAAAGCGUGGGUAGCAAACAGGAUUAGAUACCCUAGUAGUCC